rnacentral:lncRNA from 1 species
CUUGAUAAAGAGUAAAAAUGGAAGAAGAACUCCAGAAAUUAACUAUAAAUGAAGGCAAGGGAGGCAAUGAAAGCGACAUCGAAUUGUCGUCGGAUAUAUCUCUUAGGCUGCUAGACCUUUCGGACAUUGAUGAUUUCAUGGUGUGGGCUAGUGAUGAAAAGGUGACUCGUUUUUGCUCGUUUGAUUCUUACACAAGCAAAGAAGAUGGCAUCAACUACAUCAAAAACACAGUUUCUCGUCACCCCUGGUACAGGGCAAUUUGCGUUAACAAUAGGCCAGUUGGUUCUAUUUCAGUGACUGCGAAUUCGGGGAAUGACAAGUGUAGAGGAGAGCUUGGCUAUGUUUUGGCUGCUGACUACUGGGGCAAGGGGAUUGCUACAAAAGCUGUGAAGAUGGUAGCUAAUACUAUAUUUGAUGAAUGGCCACAUUUGGAGAGACUUGAGGCUUUAGUAGUUGUUGAUAAUGCAGGCUCACAGAGGGUACUGGAGAAGGCUGGAUUCAAAAGGGAAGCUGUUCUUAGGAAGUAUCUCAUUUUGAAGGGAACAACUAGAGACUGUGUCAUCUUUAGCCUUCUGUCUACUGAUCCCAGAAACUGAUCGCUUGCAAAUUUGUACUUUUUAAUCUUGUUUUCUCUAUUACUUGCAUUGAUUAGGAUGAACAUAUUUGAUUUUAGUGUCAAGUUUUUUCAGUUCAUUUAGAAAAGAAUAAGGUUCUUGCAUGUCACGAUGAAUCAUCUCUUUUGUACUUAAUGAAAUCAUGGACUCAUAAAUUUGAUCAAACUUUCAUGCAAUUAACAUCAAGAUUCACAUCUUAUUGAACACUAAUGAAGAGAAGCAAAGUUCAAAACGUUUUUAUCACCAAAAAAUAAAUGAAUAAAUAAAUAAAUAAUCAAAUGAAUAUUGUUACAACAAAAAUCUGAGCAGUACAAGAUAUACGCUGGAGCAUCAAUCGUCUUUCUGUUCAGAAUCCCGGCCUCUUUCAAUGCCCUUCUAAAGCCAUAUCAUCAAUAUCAACAAGAGCUUCCAGUCUCUCCAUAUCUAAUAGCUCUGUAAGAACAAUAAGAGCCAAAGAAGAAGAAAGGAAAAAAAGAAAAAAAGAAAAAAAGAAAAAGAAAAAACUCUUCUCACCCUUUGUGGUCAUGCCUUGGCCUCAAUACUUUGAUCCUAAAGCAUAGCCUACUUGCAAUCAGCAUCGGUCGGUGGCUUAGCCCUGUCCUCGACUUAUAUAUCCAAUCAGAUCAAGGUACGUGAACAUUAUUUUACCGUGUGAUUGUGAUCUUUUUUGUUUCAUUAUCCUUUUGUACCAUUUUUAAUAAGCUUUUUUGUUUUAAUCUUUUUUGUUUCAUUAUUCUUUUGUGCCAUUUGCAAUAAGCUUUUUUGUUUUAUGGCCAAAACCCACGUAUAUAAAAACCAGUCAACAACCCAAAAAAAAAAUAAUAAAAUAAAAUAAAAUACAUGGAAGUAAGCAAAAUAUGAAGAAAUCUGCUUGCAUUUUCAAUAUUUAAGCAACAAGGUCCAAAAGAAACCAAAAAGAACAUUUGGCUUAAUUAAACUGCUCUUGCCACUUGCCACAGUAACUGAGGACGCAGGCUAUGUAGGGUCAAAAUUAAGCCUUCACUGCUUUGUCCGGCGUUCUGCUUUUAAAUUUUUUGGGUACCUCAGUUGACCGAGAUGCAGAAGCUUUGCUCCUGCAAAACCUGUAUUGGAAAUCCAUUGUUGACUUUUACGUUCAUAAUUGAUGGAGGUAAUAUCCAAGGCCAGAGGAUGUAUUAUCUCGAGUCUAAUCUGUUAUUCAUACGAUAUUUGUUGAUAAAGAAAAUUUUCAAUGAGGGUAUGUCACUGGUUUGUUUGAUUGUCUGCCGUAAUAGAGUGUGUGUAAAAUGAUUCUAAUGUUUAUUAAAUUAUUAUAGAUUAGCUGUACUGAAAUUCAAUAAGUUUUUAGUACAGAUGAACACAAAAGACAAAAAGGAGUAGGCUCCUUUUCAUUAUCUUAUAGAAGCUUAUCAGUUGAAAGGAAGCUAUAAACAAACAUGUCUCUAAUUUCACCUUUACAGAACCCGUACUUCCUUAACAGACCUUCUUUCACGAACCCAGCUUUCUCUAACACUCUUUGAGAGGCCUUAUUCUCCAAUUCUACCAAAGCAUGCAGCCGGACCAAAUCUGGGAUUUCAUCAAACACCUUUGAAACAGCCAUUUUCAAUGCCAAUGUGGCCAUCCCUUGGCCCCAGUAUUCUGCAGCCACAGCAUAACGAAUGUGGGCUCUGCAUCGAUCAUCACCAGAUUCUGGUUUGAUCGGGAUAUAGCCAAUUGAACGGUCGUCCAAGCAAAUGGACCGGCGCCAAGGGUGUGGUAUAGCAACCUUUUCAAGAUAUGCUAAUGCCUCUUCCCUGGAAGUAAUUGUGUCCCAUCUAAGAUAUCUUGUGGCUCUAUCGUCCCUAGCCCACAAUAAGAAGUCAUCUACAUCAUAAAGAUUGAAUGGACGGAGGGAAAUUCUUGACGGUCCAUUGAAACGGGGCUGCAAUGAGUGAUCUGAGACUGGGAAUAGUUCACAUGGACGUGGCAUAGUACAUAGUAUUAAAAAAUGGACUGUCUGUCGUUUAGAUAUAGAGAACUGGAGCUAUUCACCAUCCCAGGCUCAUUACCGAGGAUUUGACAUUGCUGGCCGCACUGUUGAUCAAAGUCCAAACAUAAAACAAUGUUAUGGUUCAGUGCGAUUUUGGGACCUUUAAGUCUUUAACCAAAGAAGACACAAAGUGAGAAGGUAAAAUAUUACAGCAUAAUACUCCUUAAAUGAUCAAACAAAUAACCAGUAAAUGAUAACUUCUACUCAAAUCAUAUAGCUGUAACUAGAUAAAAGUAAGAUAAAGAUAAGUGUUGAAAUUUCUCGGUCGACAUCAACAUGGAGAGGACCCUCCUAAUUGUCUAAUUGCCUUGGGGAAAUAGUCAACAACGGCGGCCAUAAUUCCGCACGCAUAAUUUUUUUCUCCGCACAAGGGGCCAAUAUUAAAAAUAAAACAAACCUACUUGCUCUCCACUCCAAGCAACCAAAGCCUGGAAAUUUCUUUCGGCGAUUCUCUUAUAAUAUACAAAGCAAAGCACGCACUCAUCAGUUGACCUCUUUUUAAGUUAGUAAAAUCAUCACCUCCUGUUAGCCAACACAACUUGGUAUUGCUAAUCAAAUCUUGAUAAAGAGUACAAAUGGAAAAAGAACUCCAGAAAUUAACUAUAAAUGAAGGCAAGGGAGGCAAUGAAAGCAACAUCGAAUUGUCGUCGGUUAUAUCUCUUAGGCUGCUAGACCUUUCGGACAUUGAUGAUUUCAUGGUGUGGGCUAGUGAUGAUAAGGUGACUCGUUUUUGCUCGUUUGAUUCUUACACAAGCAAAGAAGAUGGCAUCAACUACAUCAAAAACACAGUUUCUC